UAUUAUUUAAAAUGUAAAUAUAAAUACUUAAGUAGUAAUAGUUAUGUUCUUGAAACUUAAAAAAUUUGGCGGUAUUUUAGUCUAUCCAGAGGAACCUGUUUUGUAAUCGAUAAUCCACGAUGGACCUUACUUAAGUUUGUAAUCAGUUUAUAUACCGUCGUUAUCAGAAUAUUUUAUAAGAAUAAUAAUAUUCAAUAAUUUUUAAAAGAAUUUAUAUCAGAUCAAGGUGUAGCUUAUAUUUAAGUAAUAAUGGGUUACAAUAAAUAUAUUUAAACGGAUAAAAUUAUGAAAAAAUUUUUGAAGGUGGAUUUGGUUGUAAAAUUAUAUAGAUUAAUAAUUUGAUUUUAGCUCUAAAAUAUGUACACAUCGCCCGUCGCUCUUAUUAUUAAGGUAAGAUAAGUCGUAACAUAGUAGAUGUACUGGAAAGUGUAUCUAGAAUGA
rnacentral:rRNA from 1 species